rnacentral:rRNA from 1 species
UACAGAGGUGGCAAGCGUUGUUCGGAAUUACUGGGCGUAAAGGGCUCGUAGGCGGCCAACUAAGUCGGAUGUGAAAUCCCCAAGCUUAACUUGGGAACUGCAUCCGAUACUGGAUGGCUUGAAUCCGGGAGAGGGAUGCAGAAUUCCAGGUGUAGCGGUGAAAUGCGUAGAUAUCAAGAGGAACACCUGAGGUGAAGACGGGUUGCUGGGCUGACACUGACGCUGAGGCGCGAAAGCCAGGGGAGCAAACGGG